AGAGUUUGAUCAUGGCUCAGAUUGAACGCUGGCGGCAGGCCUAACACAUGCAAGUCGAACGGUAACAUUUCUAGCUUGCUAGAAGAUGACGAGUGGCGGACGGGUGAGUAAUGCUUGGGAACUUGCCUUUGCGAGGGGGAUAACAGUUGGAAACGACUGCUAAUACCGCAUAAUGUCUUCGGACCAAACGGGGCUUCGGCUCCGGCGCAAAGAGAGGCCCAAGUGAGAUUAGCUAGUUGGUAAGGUAACGGCUUACCAAGGCGACGAUCUCUAGCUGUUCUGAGAGGAAGAUCAGCCACACUGGGACUGAGACACGGCCCAGACUCCUACGGGAGGCAGCAGUGGGGAAUAUUGCACAAUGGGGGAAACCCUGAUGCAGCCAUGCCGCGUGUGUGAAGAAGGCCUUCGGGUUGUAAAGCACUUUCAGUUGUGAGGAAAAGUUAGUAGUUAAUACCUGCUAGCCGUGACGUUAACAACAGAAGAAGCACCGGCUAACUCCGUGCCAGCAGCCGCGGUAAUACGGAGGGUGCGAGCGUUAAUCGGAAUUACUGGGCGUAAAGCGCACGCAGGCGGUUUGUUAAGCUAGAUGUGAAAGCCCCGGGCUCAACCUGGGAUGGUCAUUUAGAACUGGCAGACUAGAGUCUUGGAGAGGGGAGUGGAAUUCCAGGUGUAGCGGUGAAAUGCGUAGAUAUCUGGAGGAACAUCAGUGGCGAAGGCGACUCCCUGGCCAAAGACUGACGCUCAUGUGCGAAAGUGUGGGUAGCGAACAGGAUUAGAUACCCUGGUAGUCCACACCGUAAA
rnacentral:rRNA from 1 species